AAGUCGUAACAAGGUUUCCGUAGGUGAACCUGCGGAAGGAUCAUUAACACAAUACAUUUACCCAAAUGUAUUUUAACCCCCCUUUGCAAACUUGUUUCAUAAUGUUUCUCCCGGAUGCGAAAAGUUAGAGAGGCUUCGGCUUCUCUCUUUCUGUAUCUGUGGUUUUCAAACCUUUUAACCCCUUGAACUGUCUUUGACUGAAACUCUGAGUAAGAAAAAAGAAGAGACUUCACAGUCUUUUGUUUGUUUUUACUCUGCCAUAUAUCAAACGCUGAACAACUCUUAGCAACGGAUAUCUUGGCUCUC
rnacentral:misc_RNA from 1 species